rfam:Ornithorhynchus anatinus chromosome 2, whole genome shotgun sequence.
AGCAGCGUGGCUCAGUGGAAAGAGCCCGGGCUUGGGAGUCAGAGGUCAUGGGUUCAAAUCCCGGCUCUGCCA